rnacentral:rRNA from 1 species
GUGCUUAACACAUGCAAGUCGAACGGAAAGGCCUCAGCUUGCUGGGGUACUCGAGUGGCGAACGGGUGAGUAACACGUGGGUGAUCUGCCCUCAACUUCGGGAUAAGCUUGGGAAACUGGGUCUAAUACCGGAUAGGACCAUGGUUUAGUGUUCAUGGUGGAAAGCUUUUGCGGUUGGGGAUGAGCUCGCGGCCUAUCAGCUUGUUGGUGGGGUAAUGGCCUACCAAGGCGGCGACGGGUAGCCGGCCUGAGAGGGUGUACGGCCACAUUGGGACUGAGAUACGGCCCAGACUCCUACGGGAGGCAGCAGUGGGGAAUAUUGCACAAUGGGCGCAAGCCUGAUGCAGCGACGCCGCGUGGGGGAUGAAGGCCUUCGGGUUGUAAACUCCUUUCGCUACCGACGAAGCCCUUCGGGGUGACGGUAGGUGGAGAAGAAGCACCGGCUAACUACGUGCCAGCAGCCGCGGUAAUACGUAGGGUGCGAGCGUUGUCCGGAUUUACUGGGCGUAAAGAGCUCGUAGGUGGUUUGUCGCGUCGUCUGUGAAAUUCCGGGGCUUAACUCCGGGCGUGCAGGCGAUACGGGCAUAACUUGAGUGCUGUAGGGGUAACUGGAAUUCCUGGUGUAGCGGUGGAAUGCGCAGAUAUCAGGAGGAACACCGAUGGCGAA